UACGAAGGGUGCAAGCGUUACUCGGAAUUACUGGGCGUAAAGCGUGCGUAGGUGGUUUGUUAAGUCUGUUGUGAAAGCCCCGGGCUCAACCUGGGAAUGGCAAUGGAUACUGGCAAGCUAGAGUGCGGUAGAGGGUAGUGGAAUUCCCGGUGUAGCGGUGAAAUGCGUAGAGAUCGGGAGGAACACCAGUGGCGAAGGCGGCUACCUGGACCAGCACUGACACUGAGGCACGAAGGCGUGGGGAGCAAACAGG
rnacentral:rRNA from 1 species